rnacentral:rRNA from 1 species
CUUAGUGGCGGACGGGUGAGUAACGCGUGGGGAACCUGCCCUGUACAGGGGGAUAACACUUAGAAAUAGGUGCUAAUACCGUAUAAGCGCACAGUAUCGCAUGAUACAGUGUGAAAAACUCCGGUGGUACAGGAUGGACCCGCGUCUGAUUAGCUGGUUGGCGGGGUAACGGCCCACCAAGGCGACGAUCAGUAGCCGGCCUGAGAGGGUGAACGGCCACAUUGGGACUGAGACACGGCCCAAACUCCUACGGGAGGCAGCAG